GAAAACCCAAAACUGCCAAAUCUGAAAUGAGGGAAACACAUCCUGUGUGAGACCAGUUCCACAGCAUGAACACACACACAUAUACACCAGUACAUACACCGACAUACACACAGUACAAAUGAGCACACCCGCCCUGCUGUGCACAGCUGUUUUCUAAUAUAGAGAAUUUACAAAAUAUAGAAUUUGGCAUAUCUAUCUGUGAGAUCUCCAAGGCUUUCAAUAAUACAAAAUAAAAAAUACAAAAAAGACAAGUGGGGAUCCCCGCCCUCCCCCCGAGUGGCGUCCUCGUUUGCUUGUGUGUCUCUUACACGCAUACAACUAGCAUAGUCUAAAGAAGGGCACGGAGAACUUGUUUUGUUUUAUUUAAUAAAUAUUUUUCUCAGAAUCACCA
rnacentral:lncRNA from 1 species